AUUGAACGCUGGCGGCAGGCCUAACACAUGCAAGUCGAGCGGAUGAAGGGAGCUUGCUCCUGGAUUCAGCGGCGGACGGGUGAGUAAUGCCUAGGAAUCUGCCUGGUAGUGGGGGAUAACGUCCGGAAACGGGCGCUAAUACCGCAUACGUCCUGAGGGAGAAAGUGGGGGAUCUUCGGACCUCACGCUAUCAGAUGAGCCUAGGGCGGAUUAGCUAGUUGGUGGGGUAAAGGCCUACCAAGGCGACGAUCCGUAACUGGUCUGAGAGGAUGAUCAGUCACAGUGGAACUGAGACACGGUCCAGACUCCUACGGGAGGCAGCAGUGGGGAAUAUUGGAGAAUGGGCGAAAGCCUGAUCCAGCCAUGCCGCGUGUGUGAAGAAGGUCUUCGGAUUGUAAAGCACUUUAAGUUGGGAGGAAGGGCAGUAAGUUAAUACCUUGCUGUUUUGACGGUACCAACAGAAUAAGCACCGGCUAACUUCGUG
rnacentral:rRNA from 1 species